rnacentral:lncRNA from 1 species
AUAAAUGAAAUUUUAUAAAAUUCAACUUAUUAUCAAUUGCAAUAUGUAUAAUUGAAAAUAUUUAAGAAAUUUUGACAUAUGUAAUUUUGAUGUGUUAUUGCUUUUUGAAGUAUAUCUCCUAUAAAGCUAUCUAUAUGAUAAAGAUGUCAUAUGUUUUGCCUUUGGCAUUGAACAUGUUACAAAAUAGACAAGUUUCAAUACAUCUUUAUAAUCAAGGCUGCACCAUCCAUAAGGCAAGAUGUACAGUAUACAAUGACUCUGAGAACCUAAAUGUGCCACAAAGUUUUGAAAUAAAUUAUUGAAAGUUAAUGUUUACACCAGGGUGCUCAUAAAGCUUGGCAUAACUGUAUUUAUAAUACAUUAGUUUCCAAGGAAUCUUAUAAAGAUUUAAAAUGCAAGCAAAGUUCUUGUUAAAUAAAUAAAUAACAACGGAAUAAUCAAGAAAAACUUUAAAGACUGAGUUUGAUAAAGCUGAGGCAUCAACAGAAACUUAUUUCUUAUGUAAGCUAGGG